ACGGUCCUAAGGUAGCGAAAUUCCUUGUCGGGUAAGUUCCGACCUGCACGAAUGGCGUAAUGAUGGCCAGGCUGUCUCCACCCGAGACUCAGUGAAAUUGAACUCGCUUGUCCGACGCUGGCCUUU
rnacentral:rRNA from 1 species